rnacentral:tRNA from 1 species
AGGAUAAUAGUUAAAAUAACGUUUAAUUUGCAUUUAAAAAAUAUUGAAAAUUCAAUUUAUCUUA